AUGUCUCUCUAUCACGGUCUCUCUGUCUCUGUCUCUCCUGGUCUCUGUCUCUGUCUCCCUGCUUCUGUCUCUAUAUCUCUCUGUCUCUGUCUCUCUACCUCUGUCUCUCCGUGUUUCUUUGUCUCCCUCUGUUUCUGUCUCUCUCCAUCUCUCCAUCUCUGUGUCUUUUUGUGUCUGUCUCUCUCUGUCUCUGUCUCCAUCUCUCCAUCUCUGUCUCUGUCUCUAUGUCUCUGUCUCUCUCUCUCCAUCUCUUCAUCUCUGUGUCUGUCUCUCUCUGUGUCUGUCUCUGUCUCUAUGUCUCUGUCUCUGUCUCUGUCUCUCUCUGUCUCUCCAUGUCUGUCUCCGUCUCUCUGUCUCUGUCUCCCUGCCGUUGAUAACGACACUGUGGGUCCUGCGGGCACGCCUGCCGUCCCUGAGACACGGGGAAGGACAGCACGGAUGUCACCGUUUGGACCAAACCCUUUGUGUCCAAACUCAGGAGUGAUGCGAAGCCCACGCGGCGGGAGGUUACCGGGGUCCGGCCUUGCGGUUCGUGGCUGCCGGGUCCUGCCUGCGCGUCCUGUGUCCGGUGUGUCCCUACCGAGGCCGCGAAGGCCCCGUCCAGCCCCACGUCCUGGUCACCUGCCCGCGCGCGUGCAAGGCUGCAGCAGCCCCGGGGUCGCGGGACGGGGGCUCCCACCCUCACACAUGCAGCAGCGCCACUGGCACAGCCUGUGGCUCGGGAGGCGGCGGGGGCCCGACACCCACGGGACCCUCUUUCCACUGGAAAUUUUACUGUCUCAUCAGUUGGGUUCACGGCUUCCUGUUUGUCCUCCCGUUGGGUCGACAACGGACAGUGAAGGGCUCGCGUGCACACGCACGAGGAGCCGAGGGGCCACGUGGAAGAUGAGAGACGUCAGUGCGGUCGGGGAAAUACUGCCUCAUCCCAAGCAACUCGCUCCCCGAUUAGCGUCCAAAGUCCCGUGUCGUCGGGGCUGGGGCGUGGUUCAGCUCCACGUCCAUGUGGCUUUGUCUGAAGUGGGAGUAUUUAUUUAUUUUAUUUAUCUAUUUAUCUAUUUUAAAAAUAUUCUAUGUAUUUAUUCAUGA
rnacentral:lncRNA from 12 species